GAUAUAGCUGGUUUUCUGCGAAAUUUGUUUUAGCAAAUUGUUUAUUUAUUAUUAUCUGUAGGUAUAGCACUGAAUAUCUAAUGUAUAUAUGUGGAGGGAGUGUUAAUAACAUUUACCUCGGAUAUUUAAUCUCAAAAUGACAGAUGAAAGAAAUUUUAAUUUUAUUUAAAUAAAUAAUCGGACUCUUCGCGAUAAGGUGGAUAGUCAAGAGGGAAACAGCCCAGA
rnacentral:rRNA from 1 species